CGCUCAGCUCCCAGGGAGCCAGCCAGCCAGCCUCUUUCUAAAACAAAGCCUAUCCAUCUUUCUGCCCUCCUGCGCUCUGCUGUGGUCUCGCUGUUUCUGUGUGGGAAAACGCUGAAUGGCCCUAUGGAUAAAAUGCUACCUACUGCUACUGUUGUUGCUCAUCAGGUGCCUAUGUGGCAGACUUUCAAACUGAUGUCAAUAUUUAUAUCAAGAACUUACAUCAGUUUACUAAAACUGGGUCACGCCAUCCAUGCUGCAUUGUUGACUUCUGCGUGUACACCAACGUGACUCUCAUGUCAG
rnacentral:lncRNA from 1 species